UCUUGCCUCUUUUCUCUGAUGAAAUCUAUUUCUUUUUCGUACCGAAACUUUUACUUCACUUAUGCGAACGACUUCAACUCUCUCUUCCUGCAGGAGAACCUUGAGAAAGUUGCAGUUGAUGAUGUGUUGAGAAAAGAUGUAGGGUUUCCACUUGAUGUGUGAGAAAUGAAACACGAAAAAGUUUGAUGGAGAAGUUAUCAGAGAAUUUUCCUUCCCUACUGACAGUUGGUUUGACCUCAAAUGGAAGUUGGAUUUUUAAUGAGAUUGUUUGAAAGAGAGUUAGCUUCAAAAAAUACAAGGCAUGUCUUUGGGUAUAAGGGCAUUCAUAUCUAUCUAAUGGAUUCUGAUAAUUCCCAUCUCAGUUGCAUUUACUAGACAAUGUUGCUUGAUCUUGAUCACUUAUUGGUGUUUGGCAUCAGAUAUUAAGCUUUUGAAGAAUUUUCUAUCCUCUUUUCAAGUGGUAAUUCGAAUGGUGGAAUGGAAGUGGUGGAAUACCUCAAAGCACCCCGGGAAGUUUGCACGCCUUGGAGGAAAGCUGCUCAAGGGAUUUUAAUGAUUUACAUCUAAAACUGCUCAUCGAAUUGAUACUUUUAUUCAUAGGAUGGAUUUCCAAGACUUUAGUUUGAAUGACAAGAGGUGGAUAGACUGCCAAGAGACAAUGAUGCUUUCACUACAUGAGACCAAAAGUUCAUAGACUUUGCGAGUCGGGAUUUUGAACCAAGGCAGAAAAUUGUGUCCUUGUAAGGAUUGCAAUAACAAUAACAGAUAUCUUGUGUCUGAAGUGCACGGACAUAUUAUGUGGAAUGGGUUUAUGCCGGCAUAUGUCUAUUGGAUAUACCAUGAAGAAGGGGAGGACCAGGUGAGGGAAACUUCCGAUACUUGAAAUGUGGUGCAGGACGACCAUGACGACGAAACGUUUGAUUUGCUGCAAGAAAUGAACUAUGAUGCCUCCAAUUUUUACUUGCUGUUAGGACUUCUUCUCGUUGCAAAAGUUGAGUUACGAAACUGCAGUUGAGUUACGAAACUAUUCCGACAUCCGGUACUUCCCAUUUGGGAACACAGUACAGUUCAAACUUUUAAUCUUUGUGAACUUUUAAGUCUUUCAUGAUUCCUAUUUUUAAUCUUUUGUAAACUUUUAAGAGUGUUUCAAGGCACUCGUUUUCUUGAACCAUUUCCAUGAACCAUAAUUUAACCGGAGUGCUGUAAGGAUCUAAGUGGCACAUUUCACUGUGAAGUCUUUUGUACAUACUGUCGGCUGGUUAAGGAAUCUCGAAAGGGAAGAGUAGUAGUCGAAAUUCCUCAACUGAAAACAACAUUUUCUUUUUUUCAAAACGACUGAUCAAGAAUUUGAUAGCAAAUCAAAGUGUUAAAAUUUCGCAAAUUCUUAUUAAAUUAAU